UCAUAUCAAUAAGCGGAGGAAAAAGAACCAACAGGGAUUCCCUCAGUAACGGCGAGUGAAGCGGCAACAGCUCAAAUUUAAAAUCUGGUUCCUUCGGGGCCCGAGUUGUAAUUUGGAGAGGAUGCUUCGGCUGCGACCCCGGUCUAAGUUCCUUGGAACAGGACGUCACAGAGGGUGAGAACCCCGUAUGUGGCCAGGUGUCAACGCCAUGUGAAGCUCCUUCGACGAGUCGAGUUGUUUGGGAAUGCAGCUCUAAAUGGGAGGUAUAUUUCUUCUAAGGCUAAAUACCGGCGAGAGACCGAUAGCGCACAAGUAGAGUGAUCGAAAGAUGAAAAGCACUUUGGAAAGAGAGUUAAAAAGUACGUGAAAUUGUUGAAAGGGAAGCGCUUGCAACCAGAUAUGGACGUAGUUACUUACCCGAGCCUCGUGGUCGGUGCACUUUUCUAUGUCCAGGCCAGCAUCGGUUCGGGCGGCCAGAUAAAGACCGCGGGAAUGUAGCUCCCCUCGGGGAGUGUUAUAGCCCGUGGUGGAAUGUGGCCAGCCCGGACCGAGGUCCGCGCUUCGGCUAGGAUGCUGGCAUAAUGGUUGUAAGCGGCCCGUCUUGAAACACGGACCAAGGAGUCUAACAUCUAUGCGAGUGUUUGGGUGCGAAACCCAUGCGCGUAAUGAAAGUGAACGGAGGUGGGAGCCCUUACGGGCGCACCAUCGACCGAUCCUGAUGUCUUCGGAUGGAUUUGAGUAAGAGCAUAGCUGUUGGGACCCGAAAGAUGGUGAACUAUUCCUGAAUAGGGUGAAGCCAGAGGAAACUCUGGUGGAGGCUCGCAGCGGUUCUGACGUGCAAAUCGAUCGUCAAAUUUGGGUAUAGGGGCGAAAGGUACGUUUGAUAUUCCCCGACGAGGCGUAGACGAUAAAUGCUAACAUGAUCUUUAACAGACUAAUCGAACCAUUUAGUAGCUGGUUCCUGCCGAAGUUU
rnacentral:rRNA from 1 species